UUCCAAAUUAAAUUUUGACUGCUAAUUAACUCUUAUUUUGUGAAGAUUCACAUAUAUCUAAAUUGCUUUAUAUGAAGCAUUACAUUGUUAUAUUUUUUAUUUAUUAAUAUUUCAUAUAUAUUAGAUUCAACACUUCUAAAUGAAUUGCAAAGAAUCCCAAUUUAUAACAAUAUGUACAGUCUAUUGCAAAAAGUUUUGUGCACAGUGGUCAGGGGCAGGAAGCAGAGGAAAUACUUUGAUUAUAAAAUCUGGAAAGUGGCUGUAGAGCUGAAGGGAAGAAAUGGACUAUUCCUGGGUCGAAGGGGGUGGGCAGCUUUGAUAGACGAGAGAAAGACGAUGACGUUUUUGACAAAACAGCUCGCUCAUAAGAGUUUUGCUGUAUUCCUCUAGCAGCUGAAUAAUGUU
rnacentral:lncRNA from 1 species